UUUAUGGAGAGUUUGAUCCUGGCUCAGGAUGAACGCUGGCGGCGUGCCUAAUACAUGCAAGUCGAGCGAACGGAUGAGAAGCUUGCUUCUCUGAUGUUAGCGGCGGACGGGUGAGUAACACGUGGAUAACCUACCUAUAAGACUGGGAUAACUUCGGGAAACCGGAGCUAAUACCGGAUAAUAUUUUGAACCGCAUGGUUCAAAAGUGAAAGACGG
rnacentral:rRNA from 1 species